rnacentral:tRNA from 1 species
GCAAGUAUAGUUUAAACCAAACGUUAGACUGUGACCCUAAAAAUAGAAGUUAGACCCUUCUUACCUGCC